AGCAGCCGCGGUAAUUCCAGCUCCAAUAGCGUAUAUUAAAGUUGUUGCAGUUAAAAGCUCGUAGUUGAAUUUCGGGAUUUGUCAGUUGGUCGGGCUUCACUGUCCGUAUUGACUUGAUGGAUUCUUACCUUCUGAAUAACCAGCAUGCUAUUAAGUUAGUGCGUUGGGGAAGCGGAUCUAUUACCUUGAAAAAAUUAGAGUGCUUAAAGCGAGCUAGUGCUUGAAUAGAUUAGCAUGGAAUAAUAAAAUAGGACGGCAUGGUUCUAUUUUGUUGGUUUCUAGGAUCACCGUAAUGAUUAAUAGGGAUAGUUGGGGGCAUUAGUAUUCAAUUGUCAGAGGUGAAAUUCUUGGAUUUAUUGAAGACUAACUUCUGCGAAAGCAUUUUGCCAAGGAUGUUUUCAUUAAUCAAGAACGAAAGUUAGGGGAUCGAAGACGAUCAGAUACCGUCGUAGUCUUAACCAUAAACUAUGCCGACUAGGAAUCGGACGAUGUUAAUUUUAUAAUGACUCGUUCGGCACCU
rnacentral:rRNA from 1 species